rnacentral:rRNA from 1 species
UAAGGAAUAUUGGACAAUGGAGGCAACUCUGAUCCAGCCAUCCCGCGUGCAGGAUGAAUGCCCUUUGGGUUGUAAACUGCUUUUACUAGGGAAGAAAGGUAGUCAUUUAUGAUUAUUUGACGGUACCUAAAGAAUAAGCAUCGGCUAACUCC